UAAACAACUUAAAGGAUACUACCGUUCUCCUUCAUCCUCGCACGCCCUAGUGCCUCCAUUUUUCCCAAACCCUAGUGCCUCCAUUUUUCCCAAACCCUAGUGCCUCCAUUUUUCGUUUUUCGUUCAAACUUUCUCCUUCAUCCUCGCAAACCCUAGUGCCUCCAUUUUUCCCAAACCCUAGUGCCUCCAUUUUUCGUUUUUCGUUCAAACUUUCUCCUUCAUCCUCGCAAACCCUAGUGCUUCCAUUUUUCGUUCUCACCGGUCUCCUUCAUCCUCCAUUCACUUUCUCCUUCAUCUUGAUCAUCUUUAAGGCCUCAAUAAACACCAUCUCCCGUUCCAUUAGCAUCUCCAUCUUCGCAACCUUCAAUGUCCCGAGUAAAUGCCAGUUACGUGGUAGUGAUAGCACCAAAAUAUCACUAGUAGCACGAACCCUAAUCACCUUCCACCGUUUUGCAUUUUGCCUCUCUGUUUUUUUUCCAAAUCGCAUGAACCCUAAUCAGCUGCCAUGGUUUCUCAUUUCUUAAUUUAUUUUCUUUUUCAAAUUGCAGGAACCCUAACCUACAUCUGGUGAGUCCUAAGCACACUUUCAGUCCAAAUAAUGGUUGAAGACAGAUAAUACCAAUAAAAAGCAUGUCAAUAAAGAAAUGGUUUAAGGAAAGAAAGAUGAAGAGGAAAGAAGAACAGAGAUUGCACAGAGCAGAGGUGCAUGCAGCAAUGUCAAUUGCAAGUGUUGCAGCAACACUUUCUGCUAUUGCUUCUGAAAAUUCAAAAAAGGAGGAAUCAAUGAAGAUAGAGAUGCAACAAUAGCUUAUGCUUCUAUUUUGGUUGCUGCCCAGUGUGCAAUAGUAGCUGAAGCAAUGGGAGCUAAGAAAGAAGAUCUUACUAGUACAAUGUUAUUAGUUCUGCCAUGAGGUGUACUUUAAUUGGUGUGAUGGCAAACUACUAAUGUGUACAAGAUUGUGAAGGCAAACUAGAAUAAGAUUGUAGUUUUAUUUGUAAUAUUGAGUACUUAGAAAUAUUACUUAAAUAUAUUAUAUUCUUUAGUUAUAUACGGUGAAAUGAUUAAUGCUUUUAAAUGA